AAGAGAAGGUCGCCAUGAGCAGGAAGAGGUGAAACUACAGACGGUGGAAACGGUAGCCUUGCACUCCAUGGAGUCAUGACCCCUCUGCAUGGAGGAAAACGUGAGCCACUGCAGCUGCCGCCCCGCAGCACCCCCUGAACAGGGCCCAGCGUGACAAUCAGGAGGGAGGCACUCGGUGCUCUGGGAAAACCGACAGGACAGGCCUCCAGAGAGUUAGAUUUCAGUCUCUACAGUAGGAACCUACCAUGUCCAGCCACCCAGUACUCGUCACCCCAGCCAGCAGGAAGUAGCUACAGAAGAGAGCACCGUUGCCCCAUCCCUAUAACCAAAGGCUGGAAUAAUAGGUUCCCAGGAAGAUGGAGACAGACCCUGCCGCCCCAUCCCCUGAGUGUGACUGUUCAACUUGGAGACCUGCUGCGGACAUGGUCUGCAGAACUGGAUUGAUCCACAGACACCAGAUGAAUGCUCUGCAAUCAAAAUUUACUAAGACAGUUCUUAUGCAACAAAUACAUACAAACAUGGGAGAUGUU